rnacentral:rRNA from 1 species
GAUGCGACCUCAGCUCAGGCGGGGCCA